rnacentral:misc_RNA from 1 species
GGAAAUAAAAGUCGUAACAAGGUUUCCGUAGGUGAACCUGCGGAAGGAUCAUUACUGAGUGAGGGCCCUCUGGGUCCAACCUCCCACCCGUGUUUAUUAUACCUUGUUGCUUCGGUGAGCCCGCCUCACGGCCGCCGGGGGGCAUCUGCCCCCGGGCCCGCGCCCACCGAAGACACCUAGAACUCUGUAUGAAGAUUGCAGUCUGAGCAAAAACUAAAUAAGUCAAAACUUUCAACAACGGAUCUCUUGGUUCCG